GACGAACGCUGGCGGCGUGCCUAAUACAUGCAAGUCGAACGCACAGUUUAUACCGUAGCUUGCUACACCAUAGACUGUGAGUUGCGAACGGGUGAGUAACGCGUAGGUAACCUGCCUGGUAGCGGGGGAUAACUAUUGGAAACGAUAGCUAAUACCGCAUAAUAUUAAUUAUUGCAUGAUAAUUAAUUGAAAGGUGCAAUUGCACCACUACCAGAUGGACCUGCGUUGUAUUAGCUAGUAGGUGAGGGAACGGCUCACCUAUGGGACGAAACAUAGCCGACCUGAGAGGGUGAUCGGCCCACCUGGGACUGGGACACGGCCCAGAACCCUAAGGGAAGGAGCAGGAGGGAAUCUUCGGAAAAGGACGAAAGGCUGACCGAGGAACGCCGCGUGAGUGAAGAAGGGUUUUGGAUCGGAAAGCUCUGUUGUAAGGGAAGAAAGGGUGUGAGAGUGGAAAGUUCACGCUGUGACGGUAUCUAACCAGAAAGGGACGGCUAACUACGUG
rnacentral:rRNA from 1 species